UACGUAGGGUCCGAGCGUUGUCCGGAAUUACUGGGCGUAAGCGCGCGCAGGCGGCUUCCCAAGCGCCACGUGAAAGCCCCGGGCUUAACCUGGGAACCUGCGUUUGAUACGGAUGGGCUAGAGUCCGGAAGAGGAGUGUGGAAUUCCCGGUGUAGCGGUGAAAUGCGCAGAUAUCGGGAAGAACACCCGUGGCGGAAGGCGGCACUCUGGGACGGUAC
rnacentral:rRNA from 1 species